CUGGUCAGAGAGAGAACUGUUUAAUGUGGCUUUUGAAAACACUGAAGAUGUAUUUAACCGAACUUUACAUUUUGACACAGGACAUUGGUUGUCAUCCCCAGUGAGAUGUUCACAGAUGCAUUGGUUGCAGAAAACAUGACUGCAUACUGAAACAACAGCAUCCUCUGGUGGAUCAUUACAGAUGCCACAGAUUGCCAAAGACGCUUCUAGGCAGUUCAAAAGGCACAUCUGUUUCUCCCUAGGGAGCUUCUUUGCCAUCUCAAUUGAGGAUCUUCCAAAAGAAAUUGAAUCUAAGCCCCUAACAAGAAAAGGAUGAUCACAAGCUUGACG
rnacentral:misc_RNA from 1 species